UACGUAGGGUGCAAGCGUUAAUCGGAAUUACUGGGCGUAAAGCGUGCGCAGGCGGCUUUGCAAGACAGAUGUGAAAUCCCCGGGCUUAACCUGGGAACUGCAUUUGUGACUGCAUGGCUGGAGUGCGGCAGAGGGGGAUGGAAUUCCGCGUGUAGCGGUGAAAUGCGUAGAUAUCUGGAGGAACACCGGUGGCGAAGGCGGCAUCCUGGACCAACACUGACGCUGAUGAGCGAAAGCCAGGGGAGCAAACGGG
rnacentral:rRNA from 1 species